rnacentral:misc_RNA from 1 species
GAUGAAGAACGUAGCGAAAUGCGAUACGUAAUGUGAAUUGCAGAAUUCAGUGAAUCAUCGAGUCUUUGAACGCACAUUGCGCCCCCUGGUAUUCCGGGGGGCAUGCCUGUCCGAGCGUCAUUGCUGCCCUCAAGCCCGGCUUGUGUGUUGGGUCUCGUCCCCCUUCCCGGGGGGACGGGCCCGAAAGGCAGCGGCGGCACCGUGUCCGGUCCUCGAGCGUAUGGGGCUUUGUCACCCGCUCUGUAGGCCCGGCCGGCGCUUGCCGAUCAACCAAAACUUUUUUCCAGGUUGACCUCGGAUCAGGUAGGGAUACCCGCUGAACUUAAGCAUAUCAAUAAGCGGAGA